AACGAACGCUGGCGGCAGGCUUAACACAUGCAAGUCGAACGGGCGUAGCAAUACGUCAGUGGCAGACGGGUGAGUAACGCGUGGGAACAUACCCUUUGGUUCGGAAUAACUCAGGGAAACUUGAGCUAAUACCGGAUAAGUCCGAGAGGAGAAAGAUUUAUCGCCGAAGGAAUGGCCCGCGUCUGAUUAGCUAGUUGGUGAGGUAACGGCUCACCAAGGCGACGAUCAGUAGCUGGUCUGAGAGGAUGAUCAGCCACACUGGGACUGAGACACGGCCCAGACUCCUACGGGAGGCAGCAGUGGGGAGUAUUGGACAAUGGGGGCAACCCUGAUCCAGCCAUGCCGCGUGAGUGAUGAAGGCCUUAGGGUUGUAAAGCUCUUUUGUCCGGGAAGAUAAUGACUGUACCGGAAGAAUAAGCCCCGGCUAACUUCGUGCCAGCAGCCGCUGUAA
rnacentral:rRNA from 1 species